GACGAACGCUGGCGGCGUGCUUAACACAUGCAAGUCGAACGGAAAGGCCUGCUUUCCCUUGUGGAUUGCGGGUGCUCGAGUGGCGAACGGGUGAGUAACACGUGAGUGAUCUGCCCCCAACUUGGGUAUAAGCCUGGGAAACUGGGUCUAAUUCCCGAUAGGACUGCAGGGUGGUGCCUGUGGUGGAAAACGAUUUUCUAGUGGUUGGGGAUGAGCUCGCGGCCUAUCAGCUUGUUGGUGGGGUAAUGGCCUACCAAGGCGGCGACGGGUAGCCGGCCUGAGAGGGUGGACGGCCACAUUGGGACUGAGAUACGGCCCAGACUCCUACGGGAGGAAGCAGUGGGGAAUAUUGCACAGUGGGCGGAAGCCUGAUGCAGCGACGCCGCGUGGGGGAUGACGGCCUUCGGGUUGUAAACUCCUUUCGACCGCGAGGAAGCCACCUGGUUGGAAGGGUGGUGACGGUAGUGGUAGAAGAAGCACCGGCUAACUACGUG
rnacentral:rRNA from 1 species